rnacentral:sRNA from 2 species
UCCUAGCGACCGCCAGGGCAGAAGCGGGGGAACCAUGUUCCUCCGGAGAUCGCCGCACACCCGCGGCUCUCCUCGGGGUGAAGUCGGCCGCUCUGACGCGCCGACCGGGCUUCCCGGCCCGAACCCGACAGCUAACCUCGCAGGCGUACGGGAAGGAUCU